rnacentral:rRNA from 1 species
UGCGUAGGCGGCGCGGUAAGUCGGGUGUGAAAUCUCGGGGCUUAACUCCGAAACUGCAUUCGAUACUGCCGUGAUUGAGGACUGGAGAGGAGACUGGAAUUUACGGUGUAGCGGUGAAAUGCGUAGAUAUCGUAAGGAAGACCAGUGGCGAAGGCGGGUCUCUGGACAGUUCCUGACGCUGAGGCACGAAGGCCAGGGGGAGCAAACGG